rnacentral:rRNA from 1 species
GACGAACGCUGGCGGCGUGCUUAACACAUGCAAGUCGAACGGAAAGGUCCUGCUUUUGUGGGGUGCUCGAGUGGCGAACGGGGGAGUAACACGUGAGUAACCUGCCCUUGACUUUGGGAUAACUUCAGGAAACUGGGGCUAAUAUCGGAUAGGAGCUCUUGAUGCAUGGUGGGGGUUGGAAAGUUUCGGCGGUUGGGGAUGGUCUCGCGGCUCAUCAGCUGGUUGGUGGGGUAGUGGCUUACCACGGCUUUGAAGGGUAGCCGGCCUGGGAGGGUGACCGGCCACAUUGGUCCUGCGGUACGCCCCAGACUCCUACGGGCGGCAGCAGUGGGGAAUAUUGCACAGUGGGCGGAAGCCUGAUGCAGCAGCGCCGCGUGCGUGAUGCCGGCCUUCGGGUUAUAAACCGCUUUCGCCUGUGACGAGGCGUGAGUGACGGUAAUGGGUAAAAAAGCACCGGCUAACUACGUG